GAAAUGCGAUAAGUAAUGUGAAUUGCAGAAUUCAGUGAAUCAUCGAAUCUUUGAACGCACAUUGCGCCCGCCAGUAUUUUGGCGGGCAUGCCUGUUCGAGCGUCAUUUCAACCAUCAAGCCCCCGGCUUGUGUUGGGGACCUGCGGCUGCCCGCAGGCCCUUAAAAACAGUGGCGGGCUCGCUGUCACACCGAGCGUAGUAGCAUACAUUCUCGCUCAGGGCGUGCUGCGGGUUCCGGCCGUUAAACGACCUUCAUAACCCAAGGUUGACCUCGGAUCAGGUAGGAAGACCCGCUGAACUUAAGC
rnacentral:misc_RNA from 1 species